CCUUUCUGCCUCCGCUGCCGCCAUGGCGCCUGUGAAAAAGCUUGUGGCGAAGGGGGGCAAAAAAAAGAAGCAGGUUCUGAAGUUCACUCUUGAUUGCACCCACCCUGUAGAAGAUGGAAUCAUGGAUGCAGCCAAUUUUGAGCAGUUUUUGCAAGAGAGGAUCAAAGUGAACGGAAAAGCUGGGAAUCUCGGUGGAGGAGUUGUGACUAUUGAAAGGAGCAAGAGCAAGAUCACUGUGACUUCCGAGGUGCCUUUUUCCAAAAGGUAUUUGAAAUAUCUCACCAAAAAAUAUUUGAAGAAUAAUCUACGUGAUUGGUUGCGCGUAGUUGCUAACAGCAAAGAGAGUUACGAGUUACGUUACUUUCAAAUUAACAAGGAUGAAGAAGAGGAGGAAGAUGAGGAUGAAAAUUCAUUUAUCUUCAAUAUUUUGUAUGAGUUCUUGAAUAAAACUUGGGAACCAAAAUGGUGGUUUAUCCUUGUAUCUCUGCAGUGUGGAUUGCACAGCGAAUUGGAAGUCAUGGUAAAGGGCCUCACUUGGGCUGCUGCUCAGUAUUGUAACUAGACUUUUUUUCCUGAUUGAAAAUGUCUGUCCUUGUGGUAGUAAUACCAAAAUAGGAGGAGAAGCUGAUCUUAUGGGAAGAACAACCGUGGUGCACUUAGAUAAGGUAUGGAGGUGUGAGCUUCAGUUAGUCACUGUUUUAUUUUAAAAAGCGUGGCUGUCAAUUGUACCUGGUGCUUUUCUCAGAGAAUGAUUCAGGAAUGCAGUGGGCUCAUUCAUUAAAAGAAAAGGGUGAUUUCUUUCUAACGUUCUCUGUGGGAAAAUGGCAGUGUCAAUAAAAUGCAGGUUUC